rnacentral:tRNA from 1 species
AUCUAUAUAGUAUAUAAAGUAUACUUGACUUCCAAUCAUAAGGACUAUUGAUUAAUAGUAUAGAUA